CUCGUUGUCUAAUAGAAGGAAGCGCACCAGUUCUUCAGGACAGACUACCGGCGCUCCUGGUGCGGGACACAGGAGGAGGUCACAAUGGCCCUCUCAGGAGGGACAGGUCGGUACAAUGAACAAUGUCUGGACUCAAUGCAGCCAGCGCUAAGUGCCCAGCCGGCCUAGGCGGACGCCUGCAUGGUGUGCCAGGCUGCCAGCUACUGCGUGUGGCCCGCACCGCCCGUUCCCUUCCACGGCCUCACUCGAGCCCCGCACACCUCUCUGUGCAGUCAGGCGUGUUGUUCUCACAGUGGAUCCCGCUGAAGCCUGCGGGGCAGGUGCACGUGUAGCUGUCCACGCAGUCCGUGCAGUUGGCCCCGUUGCGGCAGGGGUCACUGGCACACUCGUUGAUGUCCUCCUCACAGAAAGUGCCCCGGAAGCCGGGCAGGCAGUCGCAGAAGGCCGUGUUGAUGCCGUCUGUGCAGGAGCCCCCGUUGUGACACGGGUCUGGGAGAGGACGGAAGGGGCCUCCUCAGCACCCACCAGCUCCUCUUCAAAGACUCAUCUAGCCUGCCUGGGAGCUGCCUGUGUCCCGCAGACAUCCUGACCUCCCAUCCCAGCCCUCACCGGGCCCUGGCCAGCCUCACCUUGCCAGCCCGUGGGGCAGACACAGGAGAAGCUCUCAUAGUCCUCGGAUUGCCUGCACUCCCCGCCGUUUCUGCAGGGGCUGGGGGCACACGGGGCCAGCACCACCUCACACGUGGCACCUGCGGGAAGGAGACACACGUGACCCCGGGAGCCUCACCCAGAGGGAUCUCCCAAAUCGGCCACCGCCUGCUGGUCUUUCCGCCAUCAGAGUGCCGUCUGCUGGUCCCGCCGGGAGGCAAAUGUGCACCGAGACCCCUGAGCGCUCCCGGCUGUGCCAGGACCCUGACCCAGGGAGGAGUGGAGCACAGAUGGGGGGACGCUGAAGACAAGCUGCACAAAUGUCACGCUCAGAAGCCACCCCUCAUUCCCGGUUGGCAGCGGGGCACAGCCUAGGCCUCACCCCACCAGGCGUGCCCAGGAACAAGGACUGCACCAGGAGAGGCGGCCUCAGUCGGGUGGGCUCCACGACACUGCAGGGACCUGGGCCCACCCCGGACGCAAGCCCCCUCAUCUCUGGGUGACGAGGAAAGGCCCUGGCCUGAGACCGAGGCCUGAAACUAAUCCUGGGGCUCCGUGUCACAGGCAGCAAACGCCCAUCACGGGAGGCCAACAAACAAGGGCUGCGAUGGAGGGGACAGGCCCAGGCCCCCAGCACAUCCUGCGUGUCGGGGCACGGGGCACGGCCUGGAGACCUCCAGGGCCACGCAGGGUGUCUGGCAAAGGCUAUGUGGGAACCACGUGCACAGCCGAGGGCCUUUUUCUGCACAAGCCCAUGGCCGAGCUUCCUGUUUAUAGCCGUGGGGACUGCGUUAUCUUCCCUGUCCCCCAUUAUCUCCCUGGCCUGCUGGGGCGACUUUCCAGGGCCUCUCUUCCUAUUGGUUUCCACGGUGACCCGGGCAGGCAGGAACUGCGCCAGAGUUUCCGACAAUUGUGCGAAAGGAAGCAGGAAGCGGGCAGAUAGGAAGCGGGUCAGCACCGCCGCUCCUCCUGCCGGCCCGAUCGACGUGUCUGAAAGGGACAGGGGCGCCCAGCCGUGGAGGGAGGGUCCUCACUGACUGACACAGGAGAGAAAACCCAGGUCCUUAACUUCGGUCAAAGAAAACAGCGUUCUGGCCACAGGCUGCUGGAUGUCAUGGGAACCGCAGGCGUGGGACCUCCAGCCCGGCUGCCUGGCCCAGGCAGGCCCUCCCUGACCAGGCCCCGUGGCAGCACCCUCUGCCCGCUCCUGGGGAGCGCCAGGACCCCGGUGCUUGUGGACUCUUCUUUGUCUUUUCUAGAGGAGAUCAUUUCCUGUGAUCCCCUUGGCUGGGUUCAUAGCAGGGGCUGGACAGUUGGGGGAACAUCCCCCUCCCCGCUCAGCCCAAACAGAGGGCUCCUUGUUCCGCUCACACAAAGAGAGCCCGCCAUCAAAGGAAUCCCUCAGGUCCGGCUGGCGGGGGUGGGGAAGCCCGGCCCCCAGAGACCCCAGCAGGGUGGGCGCCGGGAGCACGGAGCCCAGUGACCCAGGCCCGGCCCUGCUAAGGAUUCACCUGCAUCUUACCUGUGUCUUGCGGCAGGCUUGCCAGGUAAAACACAUGCUUGCAUGAAAA